rnacentral:rRNA from 1 species
CCUCACCUACGGGGGGCAGUAGUAGGGAAUCUUCCACAAUGGGCGAAAGCCUGAUGGAGCAACGCCGCGUGGGUGAAGAAGGUCUUCGGAUCGUAAAACCCUGUUGUUAGAGAAGAAAGUGCGCGAGAGUAACUGUUCACGUUUCGACGGUAUCUAACCAGAAAGCCACGGCUAACUACGUGCCAGCAGCCGCGGUAAUACGUAGGUGGCAAGCGUUAUCCGGAUUUAUUGGGCGUAAAGGGAACGCAGGCGGUCCUUUAAGUCUGAAGUGAAAGCCUUCGGCUUAACCGGAGUAGUGCAUUGGG